CCUACGGGAGGCAGCAGUGGGGAAUAUUGGGCAAUGGGCGCAAGCCUGACCCAGCAACGCCGCGUGAAGGAAGAAGGCUUUCGGGUUGUAAACUUCUUCUGACAGGGAAGAGUAGAAGACGGUACCCCUUGAAUAAGCCACGGCUAACUACGUGCCAGCAGCCGCGGUAAUACGUAGGUGGCAAGCGUUGUCCGGAUUUACUGGGUGUAAAGGGCGUGCAGCCGGAGAGACAAGUCAGAUGUGAAAUCCACGGGCUCAACCCGUGAACUGCAUUUGAAACUGUUUCCCUUGAGUGUCGGAGAGGUAAUCGGAAUUCCUUGUGUAGCGGUGAAAUGCGUAGAUAUAAGGAAGAACACCAGUGGCGAAGGCGGAUUACUGGACGAUAACUGACGGUGAGGCGCGAAAGCGUGGGGAGCAAACAGGAUUAGAUACCCCAGUAGUC
rnacentral:rRNA from 1 species